UUUGCCGACUGCGUAAAGCUU
rnacentral:piRNA from 1 species